UACGUAGGGGCAAGCGUUGUCCGGAAUCAUUGGGCGUAAAGAGCGUGUAGGCGGCUCGAUAAGUCCGCUGUGAAAGUCCAGGGCUCAACCCUGGAAGGCCGGUGGAAACUGUCGGGCUAGAGUCCGGAAGAGGCGAGUGGAAUCCCGGUGUAGCGGUGAAAUGCGCAGAUAUCGGGAGGAACACCAAUGGCGAAGGCAGCUCGCUGGGACGGUACUGACGCUGAGA
rnacentral:rRNA from 1 species